rnacentral:tRNA from 1 species
GCGGAUGUGGCGAAAUUGGCAAACGCACUAGACUUAGGAUCUAGCGGGAAACCUUGGGGGUUCAAGUCCCUUCAUCCGCACCA